AUAUGGUCAAGUAAGAAAGGGCGUACGGGGGAUGCCCGGGCAUCAGGACGCGAUGAAGGACGUGGCUUUCUGCGAUAAGCAACGGGGAGUUGUAAGCAAGCAUUGAUCCGUUGAUUUCCGAAUGGGGCAACCCUCUUGGUGAAUAACCGAGAACGCAAACGCGAGCAAAGUCGGGGAAUUGAAACAUCUUAGUACCC
rnacentral:rRNA from 1 species